CCGAGAAUCCUUCUCAUCCUCGUGAUCUCCCCGACGUGGAGAGCCCGUGGACGCGUAGAAGGUGCUGUGAUUUCGAGUCUCGCCGAAUCCUAGCAACCCUUUUCUCCGGUUGUAAGUCCAAGAACGCUCGAUAAAGGAAAGGAAAAGAUUUAGCAAGGAAGGCGACAAGGUGGUGGUGAUGAAGGUGUGUGAUGACUGGACUAUGGAGAGAUCCAGAGUUUGCUAGCAUAUGUUCAGGAUUUACCUGUUUAGAGUCUCAGUUUAUGUUCUAGUUCUCUUUAAAUGUUAUUAUGAGUUGAGAUUGUAAUUAAGUUUAUUCCGCACUUGUAGUUGGGUCCUAUUGUUGGAGUGAUAUAGUUGUUUGCUAUUGUUAGAGUAGUUCCUUCUUUUUA